GGAUUUUUUUAUCCUCAGAGAGAAUAAAUAUUUUGCAUUUUACUAAACAUUUCUGUGGCAAUAAGCUUUUCUGAGUUUACAUGCAAUUUUUUUGAAAUGUUCUGUGAAUGAGUC